GCUGAUAUGACCGAGUCGUUAAGGUGAGCGAUUUGAAUUUCGAAUUCACUUAUCGCUUGGGCUCUGCCCGCGUAGGUUCAAAUCCUGCUAUCAGCG